AAAAAGACAAAUCCUGGUUUCCGUGUCCAACAUUUGACCGUCCGUCUUAUUUGAAAAAAAAUAUGAAAAAAAUUAAAAAGACAAGUCACGCAUAAAAUAUUAAUCAUGUUUUAUCAUCUAACAACAAUGAAAAUACGAAUUAUAAAAAAAUUUCAUAUAAGACGGACAGUCAAAGUUGGACACGGAAACCCAUGGUUUAUCUUUUU
rnacentral:pre_miRNA from 1 species